AUGAGUACUACAUUCUUUGACAAUUAUAAGGCAGCUGAAGAAUUAGGAGCAUUGAGGAAUGCAGGAUACCUCCAAAUUUUUAUAUUAAUAGGUACUGUCAUUUUUGUACUCCUCAAUACUAUAUUUAGAGAUGCUAAAAUAAAAAAAAUUGAGGAUAAAAUAGAAAAAAAUGAGGAUAAAAUAGAAAAUAUUGAGGAUAAAAUAGAAAAUAUUGAGGAUAAAAUAGAAAAUAUUGAGGAUAAAAUAGAAAAAAUUGAGGAUAAAAUAGAAAAUAUUGAGGAUAAAAUAGGAAAAAUUGAGGAUAAAAUGCAAGCCCAAUUAGAAGAUCUAAAAAGUUUCUUACAGGAUCAAUUGGCAAACACCCACUCUACCAGAAACAGACCUGUUUCUGAACCUUUGAAUGAGGAAAUUUCCUUCCCUGAAAUAGAGAUGGAAAACACCUUCCCUAUAGCCCAGUUAACAGACUGCUUCUCUUGUGCAGUGCAAAUCUUGACUGAAUUUAAUCCCCAAAACCCUUCCCCUGAAAUCCCAGUUUCUCAUGUUCCCUCUCCUACAGAAAACCAAAUUCCAACGCAAAGGAGAUCUCAUCCUCCUAGAGAAACCUGUCCUUGUCAAACUGACCCACAGGUACAAAAUUCAACUAGAGGCCUGUUUCCUCUAAGAGAAGUACCUGAAAUAGGAAGGAAUGGGGAUGCGGUGACUUUAAGACAUAGGAUACCAUUUACUCCCCAAGAAAUAAGUGAAUUUACACGAAAUAUCCCCACAUAUGAACAAGAUCCCUUUCUAGUAACAAAAAAGAUGGGAGACAUAUUUUUUCAGUAUAAUCCAUUUUACAAGGACAUUGAGAACUUGCUACAGGCUUUUUUAACUGAACAUGAAAAAAAUAAAAUAAUUGCUCAUGUCAACAAAACCCAGAGGCAUAAUGCAGCACAUUGGCCAUCUCAGGAUCCCAAAUGGGACUAUAACAAUCCUGAGGAUUAUCUACAACUAUACCAUUGUAGAGAGGCCAUCCUUACGGCAAUGAAGGAAUGUGCAGACACUACAGAUAAGUGGAUGGAACUUGAAAAAUUAAGCAAAAGGAGGAAGAAACACCCUCCAGAUUCAUGGAUAGAAUAA
rnacentral:lncRNA from 1 species